rnacentral:tRNA from 1 species
GGAGAUAUGGCUGAGUGGCUUAUAGCAUUCCCCUGCUAAGGGAAAAUGCACAAGCAUCGUAGGUUCAAAUCCUGCUAUCUCCU